UUCUAUUCCUGUCAUCUCCACUCUACUAUUGAACCCAUUCAGUGAGUUUUUCAUUUCGAUUCUAGUAUUUCUAAGUUCUAGAAUUGCUAUUUGGUUUUAUAUUUUGCUGAGAUUUUCUAUGUUUUUAUUUGUUUUCAGGUGUAAUAUUAUUGAAUAUAUAUUUUGAUUUUUGUCCACAAUUUCUGGCUCAUAACCCUUGUAAUUUCCUGAGUGGCUAGAGCAAUAGGAGAAUCUUUUGUUAAAACAUUUGACCUUUUAUCCUUGGAUCUGAAACAGUUUUAGAAUAGCUCCAGAGUUGUAAGGUGAACAUGUCUUUUGUUAUUUAUAACAAUCCCUUUUGACCACACUUGAGUUUGUUAAUGAGGUGGCUUUUGGAGAGUCCCUAGAUAACCACUGGGUGGGUGGCUGGUUGCCAAGGGACCCAACCUUGUGAUUAACGGGUAGGAACUCACAGCCCAUCCUCGACCUUGGGGGACAGGAGAGGGCCUGAAGUUUAAAUUGAUCCCAGUGGCCAAUGAUUUAAUCAUGCCUACAUUAUGAAACCUCCAUAGAACUCAGACAGACAGGGUUUGGAGAGCUUACAGAAGCUGAACACGGAAGUUCCUGGAGAGUGGCAAGCCAGGAGAGGACAUGGAAGCUACACAUCCCUUCUACCUGGCUGUCCAUCUGGAUCCUUUGUAAAAUCCUCUAUACUAAGUGGGGAAAUGUGAACGGAUUACCUUCAAGGAACUGGACUGGUCAUGUGUGUGUCCUGCAUGUCAUCCUUUUCUGGCUCUCAUUGUCGCUGUGUGACUAGUUGGUUCUCAUUGUCAUUGUGUGAUUCAAGUAUCGUGACAAGCCCUGGGGAGAGCGAGGUCAUCUUCUGAGAUAAAACACCCAGCAGGUACCUCUAGUGGUGGUGGUGAUUUUUUGUUUGUUUCUUUUUUUCCCACUUAACCAGUGUGCGAGAUGGUGGUGGUUUUUAACUGACAAAUAAUAGCUGUAUAUAUUUAGAGGCUGCACUGUGGCUAGAGGACAUCAUGCUAAGUGAAAUAAGCCUCCGGCAGUUGCUACAGCAGGUGAGGCU
rnacentral:lncRNA from 1 species